rnacentral:rRNA from 1 species
UACGAAGGGGGCUAGCGUUGCUCGGAAUCACUGGGCGUAAAGGGUGCGUAGGCGGGUCUUUUAAGUCAGGGGUGAAAUCCUGGAGCUCAACUCCAGAAGCUCCUUUGAUACUGAGGAUCUUGAGUUCGGGAGAGGUGAGUGGAACUGCGAGUGUAGAGGUGAAAUUCGUAGAUAUUCGGAAGAACACCAGUGGCGAAGGCGGCUCACUGGACUGGUAUUGACGCUGAGGUGGCGAAAAGCGUGGGGAGCAAACAGG